rnacentral:rRNA from 1 species
UACGGAGGAGGCAAGCGUUAUCCGGAAUUAUUGGGCGUAAAGCGUCCGUAGGUGGUUUAGUAAGUCUGCUGUUAAAGCGCGGGGCUUAACUCCGUAUCGGCAGUGGAAACUACUAGACUAGAGUGUGGUAGGGGUAGAGGGAAUUCCCAGUGUAGCGGUGAAAUGCGUAGAUAUUGGGAAGAACACCGGUGGUGAAGGCGCUCUACUGGGCCAUAACUGACACUGAUGGACGAAAGCUAGGGGAGCGAAAGGG